GGUUAAGCGACUAAGCGUACACGGUGGAUGCCCUGGCAGUCAGAGGCGAUGAAGGACGUGCUAAUCUGCGAUAAGCGUCGGUAAGGUGAUAUGAACCGUUAUAACCGGCGAUUUCCGAAUGGGGAAACCCAGUGUGAUUCGUCACACUAUCAUUAACUGAAUCCAUAGGUUAAUGAGGCGAACCGGGGGAACUGAAACAUCUAAGUACCCCGAGGAAAAGAAAUCAACCGAGAUUCCCCCAGUAGCGGCGAGCGAACGGGGAGCAGCCCAGAGCCUGAAUCAGUGUGUGUGUUAGUGGAAGCGUCUGGAAAGGCUCGCGAUACAGGGUGACAGCCCCGUACACAAAAAUGCACAUGCUGUGAGCUCGAUGAGUAGGGCGGGACACGUGGUAUCCUGUCUGAAUAUGGGGGGACCAUCCUCCAAGGCUAAAUACUCCUGACUGACCGAUAGUGAACCAGUACCGUGAGGGAAAGGCGAAAAGAACCCCGGCGAGGGGAGUGAAAAAGAACCUGAAACCGUGUACGUACAAGCAGUGGGAGCACGCUUAGGCGUGUGACUGCGUACCUUUUGUAUAAUGGGUCAGCGACUUAUAUUCUGUAGCAAGGUUAACCGAAUAGGGGAGCCGAAGGGAAACCGAGUCUUAACUGGGCGUUAAGUUGCAGGGUAUAGACCCGAAACCCGGUGAUCUAGCCAUGGGCAGGUUGAAGGUUGGGUAACACUAACUGGAGGACCGAACCGACUAAUGUUGAAAAAUUAGCGGAUGACUUGUGGCUGGGGGUGAAAGGCCAAUCAAACCGGGAGAUAGCUGGUUCUCCCCGAAAGCUAUUUAGGUAGCGCCUCGUGAAUUCAUCUCCGGGGGUAGAGCACUGUUUCGGCAAGGGGGUCAUCCCGACUUACCAACCCGAUGCAAACUGCGAAUACCGGAGAAUGUUAUCACGGGAGACACACGGCGGGUGCUAACGUCCGUCGUGAAGAGGGAAACAACCCAGACCGCCAGCUAAGGUCCCAAAGUCAUGGUUAAGUGGGAAACGAUGUGGGAAGGCCCAGACAGCCAGGAUGUUGGCUUAGAAGCAGCCAUCAUUUAAAGAAAGCGUAAUAGCUCACUGGUCGAGUCGGCCUGCGCGGAAGAUGUAACGGGGCUAAACCAUGCAC
rnacentral:rRNA from 1 species